UCUGGGGCAGAGAGGAGAGAGAGGGAAGAGGAUGCAGUCAGUCAUAUGCCUGACACAGGCUCUGGAGGGGCUGGGGGACUAGUGCAGCCCUGGCUGCUAGGUUCUGUUGUCAAUCACUGUCUCCAAAAGUCUAAAAAAAAAAGCUGGACAAGUAGUGACCGAGAAAAAAGAAUAGGUCACCAGGUAAGCUCAGCUGUGAGGACAGUAUUUUGUGCAGACUUACUGUGGAAGCAAAAAAUGAGAACAAAGCAUGGCAGUAAGAGUGAAUCGGAGCCACAGCCUGGGGCCAGGGCAUGCCUGCGCUGGGAGUGAACACGGCAAGGACAAUCUCAACAGCACCAAAGGAAGGCAGCAAGGCUAGCACCCAAAUGAAGGUGACCCAGGAGCCAGCUGGGUCACCCAUACUUGCCGGCAUGCAGAUUUGCAGGGUGGGCAACACAGAACCCAGGAGUCCCAUCAGAAGAGACAGUACGGGCCUCUUGGGGAUUGUGGAGGGCAUGACCUACACUGAAGAGUGAUGGAAUGGGAGCCCUGAGGUCCCCCCUUUCUCUGCAGUGCCUUCCAGAACCACCUUGGGACCAGGGAAAACAGAUGGUUUUCUAUGUUAAGGCUGCCAUAAAUCGGAACCCCCUACAACAUACAGACUUGUCACAUUCAUCAUUCCUGCUAAACUCUAGAAGCAGGUAACACCGGCCAAGAACCGCACUUGCAGCAGCUGUCGGAUGGAUUAGGCAGCACAGACAGCAGCAGGGUGUGUGAUCCCAGGGGACAGAAGCAUCUCUCAGCAAGCAGCCAUCUUCUGCAGACUCUGGGAUUUUUCAAGAGUGAGCACACUGGCUACAAAGGAGUCUUCCUACGUGAGGCCUUUGUCAAAGGAAGGGCUACAAAGUGACCAUUCAGCUCCUGGGGUUGAGAGCAAAGGGCCAUGCUAAGCAGGAAGGUGUUCACAAAUACCACCAUGGAUUAGCUGGCUGCAGGGGACACCUACAGUGCGUCAUGUCACCGGGAGUAAGGACCUGUGCCCACAUACUGAGAAGGGAGGAAAAGCCUUCCAGUCAGUCUAAGAACACAGGUAACUUAACCAGCUUCAACAAGAGCCCAAAGUCUUUUGCCCUGAGCAGCAAACAGAGGUAUCCAAGCUCUACCCCCUCUGCUCUCCCACUACAGGACUGGAGAGAACAUGGGACCAAGCAACCCUCAAACUGGAUGGUGGCGGAGCUGACAACGCUUCAGAGGUCACCUGUCCACAUCCCAGCAGCUCAGACCUCUGCCUAGGAGGGUGGGAGCUCAGCAACAUUUCACUUCCUUAGUUGGAUGCGGCUCAGGGCCCUCUUCACAGCACCCAGAGCUGCAGUUCCUACCGGCUCCCAACUCCCCAGAUGCCCUGCUGAUGGCCAACUCAGAGCAGGUGUCUUUUAGCUAGUCCUUUCUGGAAGGGGGUACAAGAAUACUCACACGAACCGAGCUGGCUCAACCCAGGCAAGAAUACACAGGUCAGGAUGGGGGCCUGGCCUUUUACGCAGCUGCCUAGUGCCAUGACAGAGCCUACAGGCUCUCGGACAAAUGACUGAUAAGGCCAAGUCCUUAACCACAGCUACAGUUUACUGAGCAUUCAUGAAAAGGUAUCUACUAUGAGUAUUUACUCCAUCCAUCCCAGUCCAUCCCAAUCCAUCCAUCCAUCCAUCCAUCCAUCCACCCACCCACCCACCCACACAUCCAUCCAUCCAUCCAAUCUAUCUAUCUAAUCUAUCUUUUGUAUUGGCAGGGUCUCACUAUGGUGCUCAGCCUAGUCUUGAAUUCCUGGGUUCAAACGAUUCUCUGACCUUGGCCUGCCAAAGUGCUGGAUUACAGGCAUGAGCCACCAUGCCCAACCCAUUAUUUCAUUUUAACCCAAACUUAUGGGGGGCCUGAAUCAUUUUUCCCCCUUUAAAAACAGGAUAAAAUAACUGAGCUCAGAAGGGAAGUGAUUUUUCCAAGUCAGACAGCUAGGACUGCAAAGCUACGACGGAAACCCAGGUCUGACCAAAGCCCUUGCUGAUAAUAUACUCAUCUUUCUUCCCAAUAAGGGGUGGGUGACUAAGAAAUUGGCUCAUGGACCACCACGUAACCUCCAGCGGGAGUAAAGCACACAGCUUCUACCUAUAACUGAAAAAAGAGGCUCUCAUCUGACCCUGGAUGUGAGAAAGGAAGCAGCGUGUCAUCCUGGGAGGUGCUGUCAGCCAUUUUGCCACCAUUAGGGAAGCUGGCCAGAGAACAAAGCUAACAUGCAGAAGGAGGCAAUGGGAACAAACUACGGGGAAAUAGAGCUGGAAUCUUGAUCAGGCUGCACCUGAAGACUGAUUUUCCACUAGGCUUUUCCAUAUACAGUUGUUCCUUAUUAUUCCUUUUUGUCUGCAGGGAAUUGGUUCCAGGAUUGCCACCCACUUACCACCCCACCAAUACCAAGUCCUUGGAUGCUCAAGUCCCUUACAUAAAAUGUAGUAGCACAGCUGAUCCUUGAACACACGCAUGAACUGCACGGGUCCACUCAUAUGCAGAUUAUCUCCUGCCUCUGCUGCCCUACACAGCGAGACAGCCCCUCCCUCUAUUUUUUCCUCAGCAUGAAGACCUUUAUUAUGAUCCACUUGUACUGAACACACAGGAAAUAUAGUUUCCCUUCCUUAUGAUUUUCUUAACAUUUUAUUUCUCUCUAGCUUACCUAAAAAUACAGUAUAUAAUAGAUAUACAAAACGUGUUAACUGACUUUACGUUAUUGCUAAGGCUUCUAGUCAACAGCAGGCUAUCUGUAGCUUUUGGGGCGUCAGAGUUAUACAUAGAUUUCAACUGCAUGGGUAGGGGACAGCCCUAAUCCCUGCAUUGUUCGAGUCACUUGUAUUUGCAUAUAACCUAUGCAUAUCCUCCCAUAUGCUUUAAAUCAUCUCUAGAUUAUCUGAUACAAUGUCAGUGCUCUCUACGUGGUUGUUACACUGCAUGUUCACAUCUGUAUUACUUUCUAUUGUUUAUGUUAUCUUGAAUGUUUUCAAUCUGGUUGGCUGAUCAUGGAUGUGGAAACUACAGAUAUGGAGGGCUGACUGUAAA